AGGAGGGGAGGGCGGGGAUGGGGGGGGGGUGGGCAGUCAGCCCGGCACCUGCAGCCGUGACGCUGAGCAACAGACGUGCAGACCAAGAGGGACCCGCCCAGGGCCUCUCAAAUUGCCCCGGCUAGAGCCAGGGCCCAGGACUCUGCAUUUCACAAGCUCCUGAGCCUCGCCCAAGGAGCACCCCCCUCCACUUGCCCAGGCCACACGAACUGGGCUCCAGCGCGCCUGGAGGGCGGACCCAGGGUCUGACGCGGGCCCUUCUCGGGGCUACGGCCCCCCUCAUCUCCUUCCACUGAGGGGCUGGCUCUCCCAGCCCCAAGGUCUGUCGGGGGCACCCCUGCCGGGUCAUGAGGCCUCUGCCAGACUCAGAAACAGAUGCAACACAGAUUGAGGGCCAGGGCCAGGUGCCCAGCGGUUUCUGCACGAGCACCUGGUGCCGUGUAGGGACGUCCUGCUACUGUUUGAUCUAUUUUGUGAGUGUCUUAGGCAUGGCCCAGGCCCAGGGAGGAGGGGACGUGGACCGAGGCCUGGGUGAGGGCAGCGUGCGGAGGUGGGGGCGGCCUGGCAGGGGUGAGGGGCCACGGGCCAACUUGGCUUGGGGCAUCAGGGAGCCCUGUGGCCUCGGCUGAGUCACUGCACUGUGAAGCCAGCUUUCUCGCCUCUGCAAGUGGGCACUGGAAUUGUGCCCAAACCGAACCACGGGGUUUCUGUGAGGCUCACACAGGGCCCCUCUGCCCCCAUCAGCGCUCAGCAGACAGGGGUCUUGGAGCAGGGACAAUGAGCAGCCCCCAGAGGAAAGCAACGGGAACGGGCAGGCUGUCCGGACUGGGGGCGGGCGGGCAGCCCGCCCCUCCUCCGGAUCCAGAAAGGCCAGGAUACCUGCAGGGGUGAGGAGGGACGGGGGAGCUCAGGCUCACCCGGCGCCUGCCCUCAUCAAGGGCGAGAAGUGGCCUUGGGGUGGGACCUGUAGGAAAGGAGCCCGAAGCAGUCCUGGGGGCGGGGGUGGCCUAGCUGGGGCGGGGCUCACGUUACCUCGGACACCUUAUGGACCCUGCCGUACGUCUGGCUGCACUGCAGCAGCUGGGCCGCUAGAUUGCAGUCCUUCCUAUAGAGCUCCUACAAGACAAGAGAAGGCGUUCGGUGCAGGUUCGCCCCUCGCCGAGCUCCCUGCCGCCCGGCGCCCGGCGGCCAACACGGAGACCAGGUGGGGGGGGGGGGCCGGCUGGGCAGCUGUCAGGACUGGAACCUCUCUGGGACUCACGCCCUCGCCUGCAGAAUGGGGGCCUCGGUUCUGACCUGGAGCUGCCGCUGCCCCGGAUGGGAGCCUCCCACAAGGGGUGGGGGGGGCAGUGGUGGAGGAAGGGCCUCCAUUGGUCCCUGAGCUCUCAGGGGGGCUCCCUGUUCCCCCACCGCGUGGAGAGUGCCAGCCUGGAAUGAUAAGGAAUGUGCCUGCGGCCCCUGGCUCCCCAUGUGUCAGACUUGCUCUACGCCCCACCCACCCCCAUCCUUAAAGUGUGGCCUGCUUCCAGGGGUGGCUGCAGGGCCAGGCGAGGGUCAGGGCAUGCUGGGGCAGAGGGCCUGUGCGACCCAGGGUCCGGGCAGGGACCGGCUCAGCCUCCUGAGCUGAAAACAGAUGCAAACAGUAGGACUCGAGGGGAUUUGGUUUCAUCUUUGGUAAAUCUCUGUUGCAUGUGCCUGUGGUUGGGUCUCUCGCUGCCGCCCCCACCCGGGGACCCUCCGCAGGGAGGGCUCCGACAGUGAGGGGUCUGGGGUCCACCAACGGGCCCUCAGAUCCGCCGGCUCCCACAGUCUCCGCUCAGCUGGGACCAGGUGCCCUGCCGCUCAGACAAGCCGCCCAACCCCCACCCCGUUCCUGGAGGUUCCCCCGCCUCCACCAUCUGUGCCGAGGCUUGUGUCCCCAACUUGGCCUGCAAAGUGGAGAGGACCUGGGUCCCCAGACUCCUCAACGUCUCCUUGAGGGCACAGUUGGCUGACAGCUGAGGUCCCUGGCCUCAGAGGGCUGUGAGCGCUGCCCGGCCGGCCAGAUCUGCCUCCGCAUCACUGUGCUGGGCCGCUGGGCCUCCACUCUCCUCAUCUGCCUGCACUCCUGGACGAUCUCACCCCACCUGUGGCUUUGAACCGCAGGCAUAUGCUGAUCUCUGCCCUAAACUCCAGACCCCGCCAUCUGGCUGCCUCUCGGGCAGGCCCUUCAGCCGUCCAGGGCCUCCUCCAUCCCGUGCUCAAGAACCUUCAGUGGCUCCCUACUUCAUUCAGAAUGAAACGCAGACUCCUAGAGGAGCCUACACACUGUGGCCUCCUGUUCACGCUCUGACCUCGGACCCUGGGCCCCUGCCUGUGUCCGGGGGCCCCAUCUACUGUUCCUGCGGGCCCACCUCUGCCACUCCGGUUCUUCCUGCCAGGUGCCCGUGGCCCGCUCUCUGGCCUUUUUCAGGUGUUGACGUAGCAGCCCCUUCCAGAAGCACCCUGACUCCCUAGCACUGUCACCUACGUGACUUUUCUCUGCGGCAUUUAGCACUUUUACCAACCGCAUGGUUUGCGUAUCCGUCUUAUUUUCUGCCUUCCCCACUCAGGGGUAAACUCCAUGCGGGCAGGGAGUUUUUUUGGCCCGUGUCAUUCACACCAUGUUCUCGGAGCCUAGGAGGGCCUGGCAAGAAGCAGACACUCAUCAGGGAAUGUGUGGUCAGCUGUCAGGCGUCCCUGGAGCAUGGCUGGGCCCAUCCCACGGGGCCCGCGAAAUCAGGGCGGCCACGUGGCUCUGAUGCCCACUGGGGCCGGCCGGGGCAGGAGUCCUAAGUGAGCAUGCCCCACACUUGGGGUCAGGCAGCGCCGCCUCGAAUGGGAUACUAUGGCCCAGGGGUCGCUACCACAAGCCCUGUUUCCUUCCCGCGGAGGAGGGUCUUCCUGGAUACCCUCCAGGCAGUGGACGUCUGGCGAGGCAGCCCGUCCUUCCCCCGCUGCCCAGGCACUCCUUCCACCGCCCCUGCGCCAGCCCCUCAAGCCUGGAGGCCGCAGCACCGGGGCCUGGGCCCCCAGAGUCACAGUGGCCCGACACUCACAUUGUCCUCCGACAGCUUGUCGAUGGUCACCUUGGCCUCCAGCAGGUGGCUGUUGAGGGCAACAAUCUCGUGGCUCAGCGCUCGCUUCUCUUCCUCAUAGUGCUGGCCCUGGGGCGAGCGGAGGGUGGGGGAAGGAGCCGGUCGGUGGCCAGCCAAGGCCUGAGCCUCAAGCCCCUAGACCUCUCGGGUGCCCUCUUGCCGUAAAUAAUGAUGAGGUGUUUGCAAGGCCAAGGAAGGUGGGGGUAAGAACACAGAGCAGCAGGUUCAAGUCCACCUGCGCUGCCUCACCGACAAGCCAGACGGCCCCGGGCAAGUCACUGCCUCCCUGGGUCUCUUGCUCAUCCCGCCAAGGGGACAGCAACGCCCUGCUUCCCAGGAGCCCGUGGGGAGGAUGGCUUGCGCUCUGCACAGAGCCUGGUCCCCAUCCCUGCCCUCCCCUCCUCGAACCCAUCCAGUUUCAGCCUCCAACUGAGGCUCAGAAGGGCAAGGGCCCUCGUCCAGGGCCCCGAGGAGAGCUGGCCCAGCCUCCAGGUCUGCCCGUCUCCACUCUGCCAGCAGUCUACGACAGGCAGGUGCUCAACACCCAUUUGUGACUUUCAGAAAGAAAACAAGCUCGUGACCAGACUGGAAAGAGAGGAAGCUCCCAUCUGCGGGAGGGGAGAUGCCAGAACUGGGCCGGCCCCUCCCUGACGCCGGCCCCGCCAGACCCGGAGGCCUCCACCACCGUCCCAGCUCCUAACGGAUCUCGACAGCCAGAUCAACAUACAGAAGCUGCAGCACUUCGGGGGGCUGCCUGCGGUGGCUACUUCGUGGGCUCCCCCAGGACGCCAGGACGCUGAGCCCCCAGCCCCAGGAAACGGAGACGCGGGAGGAUCGCCCACGGACCGCAUGCCGGCCGCUCUACAGUUGGGCAAAAGGCAGGAGGGGGAAGUCUGGGGCGUGGCCGUGAGCUCCACGGGGGCAGGGGCCACACCCUCCUGUGGGCAGCCUCCCAGCUCCAGAGCCGGUAGGUACUCUUGAACACACGGCGACCUGGUGCACGCUUCCCUUUACAGGCCGGGCACACGGAUGCGGGCAGCUGGGGAAGAGGCCUCAGCGUUAAUAGUGGGGCCAAGAGGGCUGCUUUCCUGCAGGCAAAGGGGCUGCGGGGGGCGGGGUGCGUUCUGCUGGGAGUCCCCCACCGGCCGAGUUGGGACCCCAGCGCUGUUCGGUGCUCUGGGCAUGCGCUUUCCCCUGUCACCCCCUUGGACUUCAGUGACAAGGAAGCCCGGGUAGGUGCAGCCCGUAGAGGGGCAGGCCUGCCUGGCAUCACGGCAUGGGCGGGGGUCUGCGGGCACACAGACUUGCUGCUGGUCCCCGCCCCCCAGGCUGCCCGCUAUCCUUCCGUUCAGGCCUCAGCUGCCCCCUGGAAAGAGGGGACUGCCCCCAUCUUAAAUUCUGCCCAGAGAGGUGCCCAGGUCUGAGGCGGGUGCCGAGCGGGCCCACGGUCUGCCCGGGAAGAGCAGUGCCCGCUCCAGGCCGCUGCGCAGGCCUGGGAGGGAGUCCCCGGACGUCACCCUGGAAACCUGGACCGUGCCCGGGCUUGGGAACUCUGACCCUGCCCGGGUGUGCGGUGGAACCUCGGGCAAGAGCCUGUGUUCUCCCGACCUCUGAGACCCACAUCGGAGUGAGGGGAACUGGGGGCAGGCAGGAGGCUUCCUCCUUCAGCCUCGGGGCCCCGUGUACGAAGCCAUUCAUGUUACCACGGGCGCACGCCCAGCAAAUCUUGAUGAAACGUUCCUGGAUCCCUGCCCAGGUCGAAUUCUUUAAAUAAAUAAAAAUAAAGAGUU